UCCGCCAUUUCAAAGUAGCACAAUCGCUCUCGCCACAUAAUGAAAGAGACCUCGCAUUUCUUUAGUGAGCAUUUGACAGAUCGGGAAAGUUUUGCUCCUGGCACUCAAACGGGAAGAGACUUUGGAACCCGCUCACAACCCCAACUGGCUGUAUUUAAUUCAUGUUCAAGUCCAUCAAACAUUGAAGGCUUGUAAACGUUGUGUUAUCUUUCGUUGCACUCAUUAUGCAUUGAGUAAAUAGCGCGAACAUCAGAAACAAAUGAACAUCGAACUUUGACAUUUAUAUAAUCGUCACUAGUGACACGAGUUUGUCAAUCGAGAGCUUCCCUUCCAUUUAUAAAUCAAAAUGUGUCCUUAAGCUCUACCUACAACAGCGGACAUCAACCCUCGGGACUUCGACAAAAGCAGAAAAAAAUAGUAAUAUUAUUAUUCCAAGAGAAUUUGGCAAGUUGAUUGAGCUUCACAAAACAAUGCCAGAGGCUCGUGUAAACUACCGAGGACAUAACUUGUAGUUUGAUAUCUUUACGCUCAUGAGUCUGGAGUUUAGGAAAUUCGUUAAAGUGCGAAGAUGUUGCAUACACGCAAACUUCCAACAAUCUCUAACAACUUGCUAUUUUGAUGCCGCUCAGCCGGGAAUCAGAGGGAAGAUUUAGAAUUGCGUCGGAGAAAUUCAAAGACUGUAGGCAUUCUGGUUGUCACUGUCGUACUACAAUGGUAACCUGAGGUGACUGAAGCUUUCAAUGUUGUGGAAACUGAUUUAUUCAUCAAUUAAUGGUUUUAAAAAAAACACUCAAAAAGGUGCAGCAAAUUCACACUGAUCCAUUAAUGAUUGAAAAGAGGAAUUCUCAUUCAUUUGCCUCAUCAAAAACAAAAAGGAACAUAAAAUUUUGCUGAUACUUACAGACUGAUACAGUCUGAAAAAUGGAAGCAGUUGAUACAAGAGUUGGCCAUUCAGCCUUUUGAUUGGUUGACCAUUCAACUAGAUCAUGACUACUCUGUAAAUAAAUUCAAUUUAUCCCAGUUUGUGUAAUAUCUCCUGACACUAUUACUCAAAAAAACCCUCUCAGUCUCAGUCUUGCAAAUGUCAGUUGUCCUGCAUUUCACAGUAUUUUGGGUGGGUUGGCAGGACAAUGGGCGAGAGACAGAGAAAAAAAGAGUUCAGAUUUUCAUUACCUUUUGUCUGAAAGGUGUUUCUUGAUCUUGCUUGCAGGGAUGAGGUCAGUCUAUUUAGCUCCCAAGAUUUUUCUGCCCUUCAAUUAAAUCUUGGCUGAACUGCAACCUACCUCCACAAUCCUAACUUUGUCCAUUACUCUAAACACCUUGCUAAAAGUUUCAGAUUUACCAAUGACCAAGCAUUUUCUUGUGUUUGUUCAUGGGAUUGGAGUGUGGCUGGCUAGGUCAACAUUUACUUCCCAUUUCACACUGCCCAGAAGCAAGUUCAGAAUCAACCCAUUGCUUUGGCUCUGAAGUGGCAUGUAGGCCAGACAGGAUAUGAAUAGUAGAUUUCCUACCAUAAGAAGGAUAUUAAUGAGCCAAGUUUAUUAAAAAAAAAACAAUCGCACUAAAAACUUACUUUUUAUUCCAAAUUUUUAUUGAAUUCAAGUUUCACCAUCUGCCAUGGUGAGAUUCAAAUGCAUAUCCCCAGAACAUUAGCCUGGGAUUCUGGAUUAGUAGGCCAUUUAGUUACAUUAUCAUGACAUCAAUAUCUCCUCUUUGCUGAAGGGAGCUCCAAAUUUCUACUGCUGUUUCUGUACAGACACAUUUCAGCUUUGCAAAAGGCGUUAGAAUAAAACAGAAUGAUUAAAAUUAACAUGUCAAUGCAAUCUGAAAAGACAAUGUUCAACGUGUAACUUUCUUAUAGCGCCUUUUUGUUAGAGAAUUAUUUUUGAAUUAUGUUUACAUGGGAUAGAUCACAAUGUACUUUUAAUUUUAUUUUAUUAAAUGCUACUCAAUGCAAUAGUGAAGGGCUCUUGCAUGGGCUAGAAACCUCAUGUAAAUGAAAGUCAGGUAAACGUGUUUCAUGGAUAUAAAUGUUAUCAUCCUAUCUUCUUUCUCAUACUGGGACAAGCGUGUGAUGCAAUAUCUUGUUCUACAGUUGUCACUUCCACCACUGAAAUGAUACAGGAUGGGAUGGAAAUGAUGCACUGAAUUGAUGUCAAACAUUCAGAAUUACUGGGGAACAAGUUUAUCUACAGUACUUCCUCAAUAGCACAGUCCAUCUUUCACAAGUCAACACAACCAAAUUAAUACUCCAUUUUCAGUUUGAAUUAUAACAUUGUCUCCUCUAGCACAUAUUAGAGAAGUACUUCUACUGAUUUCCCAUUCAGUAAGAUUGUAAAUCGCCUUGACAUGAAUAACUACUUUUAUAUUUGGUCAAUAAAAAAAAAACUAUGAACCUGGAUUCAUUAAUUCAAUGUAUCAGUGUUAAUAUUAGCAAAUGUACACUUGUUUAAAUACAGCAGCAGUUUGUAUUUACAUGAUAAGAUCCUACAGUAAAUGAUUAAACAAAAUAACAAAUAGAUUUACAGAGAACAAUAAAAGAAACUCAAGGACUUGGAGCAUCAAAUUCACGUAGAAUGUUUUAGCUGAUUGUUUAUUCUUCUGCCACUCCUAUUGUAGAUGAGUUUAUUCAUUACAGCAGGGUUUUGGUUUCUAUUACUUAUAGUUGCCAGGUUGUAAAGUGUAUUUGCUUGAAUGCAACAGUAAUUGAUACAUAAUACACACCACUUUCCAAGAUGUAACACU